UGCACGGUGGUGCAGUUGGAAGCACUGUUGCCUUGAAACAAGAAGGUCCUGGGUUCGACUUCCGGCCGGGGGUCUUUCUGCAU